UGCUUCCUGAUGCAGUGCCAACUCUGUUCCCUGACACGGUCAACUUCAAGGCAUUACAGCCGAAAGCCCUGAAGCCUGACGAGUUAGGACCACCCAAACGGAAACGGGACACAUACGGUGCUUUUACAAAGCGCAAUCGUAAAACGGUAGAUAAGGUUCUGAACUUGGCAGAAAGUUAUUUGUCUGCAGAAUCACAACUUGGAGAGGCACCUGCAGGCCUUUCAAAACCUGAUAUGGCAACAUCCAAUUCAAAGGCUACUCAGACUACAGAGUCGGUUGUGUUUCGACCAACAGGGCAUAAGAGUUUUAACAUCAACAUUCAACCUCAGCGGAGAAACAAAGCGAUAAUGGGGACUUUGACUGUAAAGAAGAGGAUCCUGAUUGGGAGCCUGAUCAUGACUCUGAGGAGAAAUUGAUGUCAGAUGAUGAGGAAGAAGAGGAGGUUUGGGUCAACAAUCCUGAACCAUCUGACAGACCAAACAUUGUGUACGAGAGCUGUCUUCUGCCAUUCCUUCUAGUGUGCACUGUUUGCGGAAGUAAGUGCACUAUUACUCGCAAGUCGGUGCGUGGCGGCCAGCUCAAGAUUAAUACUUUGUGUGCAACCGGCCAUACUAAGGACUGAGAAAGUGCUCCAACUGUCAGCGGCACACCAAUGAUAAACUUGCUUGCUGCUGGGUCUAUUUUGUUAGUGGUGUUUUGAUAAGAUAAUUUUUGAACUGCUUAGACUUUCUUAAAGUUCCCUGUAUUUCAUAUAGAACGUUUACACGAAUUCAAUCGUCCUAUAUUCUACCAGCAGUUGAUAAUGUUUGGAAAAGAUCUCAGCAAAAAAUCUUCAAGAUGUGUGAGGGACGUUCGCUGAGGCUAGGAGGUGAUGCCCGCUUUUUUUCCCCCAGGUCAUUCAGGCAAGUACUGAUCGUACACAUUGAUGGACAUUAAGACUGGACACGUCCUUGAAAUACAGCAUGUUCAGAUUAAUGAAGUGAAGAACAGUAAUGCCAUGGAGCUGGAGGGCCUCAAGAGGACAUCCUCAAACCUGUUUGCAAACGAGCUACAGAUAUCAGACCUGGUUACUGACCGGCAUGUCCAAGUUAGAAAGGUCAUGAGAGAAGAGAUGGGCCAGAUUCGCCAUUGGUUUGAUGCCUGGCACAUGGC